GAUGAACGCUGGCGGCGUGCCUAAUACAUGCAAGUCGAGCGAACAGACGAGGAGCUUGCUCCUUCGACGUUAGCGGCGGACGGGUGAGUAACACGUAGGUAACCUACCUAUAAGACUGGGAUAACUUCGGGAAACCGGAGCUAAUACCGGAUAAUAUUUCGAACCGCAUGGUUCGAUAGUGAAAGAUGGCUUUGCUAUCACUUAUAGAUGGACCUGCGCCGUAUUAGCUAGUUGGUAAGGUAACGGCUUACCAAGGCAACGAUACGUAGCCGACCUGAGAGGGUGAUCGGCCACACUGGAACUGAGACACGGUCCAGACUCCUACGGGAGGCAGCAGUAGGGAAUCUUCCGCAAUGGGCGAAAGCCUGACGGAGCAACGCCGCGUGAGUGAUGAAGGUCUUCGGAUCGUAAAACUCUGUUAUUAGGGAAGAACAAACGUGUAAGUAACUGUGCACGUCUUGACGGUACCUAAUCAGAAAGCUACGGCUAACUACGUG
rnacentral:rRNA from 1 species